AGCUUUGCGCAGUGGCAGUAUCGUAGCCAAUGAGGUUUAUCCGAGGCGCGAUUAUUGCUAAUUGAAAACUUUUCACAAGUAUCUUUGAAAACUCAGCAUGAAAUUAUUGCUUUCAUAUGUAGUUCUUAAAUUUCAUAUAAA
rfam:Fukomys damarensis contig127760, whole genome shotgun sequence.